rnacentral:rRNA from 1 species
CAGCACCUCAAGUGGUCAGGAUGAUUAUUGGGCCUAAAGCAUCCGUAGCCGGCUCUGUAAGUUUUCGGUUAAAUCUGUACGCUCAACGUACGGGCUGCCGGGAAUACUGCAGAGCUAGGGAGUGGGAGAGGUAGACGGUACUCGGUAGGAAGGGGUAAAAUCCUUUGAUCUAUUGAUGACCACCUGUGGCGAAGGCGGUCUACCAGAACACGUCCGACGGUGAGGGAUGAAAGCUGGGGGAGCAAACCGGAUUAGAUACCCGAGUAGUCC